UGGGGAAUAUUGCACAAUGGAGGAAACUCUGAUGCAGCGACGCCGCGUGAGUGAAGAAGGUCUUCGGAUCGUAAAACUCUGUCCUUGGUGACGAAAAAAAUGACGGUAGCCAAGGAGGAAGCCCCGGCUAACUACGUGCCAGCAGCCGCGGUAAUACGUAGGGGGCGAGCGUUGUCCGGAUUUACUGGGCGUAAAGGGUGAGUAGGCGGUAAUAUGUGUCAGAUGUAAAAGGCUAUGGCUUAACCAUAGUUGGCAUUUGAAACUGUAUUACUUGAGUGCAGGAGAGGUAAGUGGAAUUCCUAGUGUAGCGGUGAAAUGCGUAGAUAUUAGGAUGAACACCAGUGGCGAAGGCGACUUACUGGACUGUAACUGACGCUGAGUCACGAAAGCGUGGGUAGCAAACA
rnacentral:rRNA from 1 species